GAUAUGUUGAAUGCACCUGAUUCGCCCGCGGAUCAAGAGAGGGCGGAGAUAUGUAUCUCUACUUUAUUUUCUUGAUUUCAUGAGUAUAUGCACGCGUACAUGUGAACUUGUGAUAUAUUAUAAUCUUAUAAUUUUUUCAUACAGGAAAUAUCCAUACCUAUUUCGUCAAUGGCGAACCCUCCUCCUUGCACUGGAGAAGCAUCUCAGGAUCCGGUAAUAGCGACAGUUUCUACAUCGAUGGUGAGCCAUCCUCAGUCCAUUGGAGAAGCAUCUCAGGCACAGACUCCUUUGCGGUAUGGCCAUAACGUGGAUCCAUUUAAGUAUGUCUUCAAGAAAACUCCUAAGAGUGACAAGGAGAGGAGAGUGAAUAUAUUAGCUCCUGGAUCAGCCGAUGAG